GUGAGAAGUAUAAUUCUCCCAUAAGACCAGACCCAAUGGGGGUAAUAAGUAUGCCUGCAGAUAACCACAUAACUGAUACUCGAUAUUUAACAUCUAGCAUACGAUGGCACCUACAAAUCAAAGAAGAUGAUAGCAAUACAGAAGUAGUAUCCAGCAACCCUGAGUGCUCAUGCAAUUUUUUUCAAGCAAAACUCUGAAUUAACUCAAGAAGUUGCAAAAGUGCCUGAUUGGCAUCUCAAAGGUCAAUGCAUUACUACUGGAGUUCUUCCUUUAUAAAGGAGUCUUACUGAUCAACACUAUGGGGCAUACAGUAUCAAGGUUUUUCACAGAUGCCAAAAAAAUGUGUUUUUGCUAUCUAUUUGUAUUUUGGAAUGUUCAUAUCCAUCUUGUAGGCUAAUUCUAAUGUUGCUUCAUCUCAUAUAUGUUGACAAUUCAAUAGUAAUCAGGAUUUGCUCAUAAAUUAUUGUUCCAUCUCUCUUUUUCCUUACUAAGCAAACAUCCCACAGGACAGAGUAGAUGUGGGAAAUGUCCCACUUUCGAUUGCGCCUCAGCCAUCUGUCUUAAAGGGUAAGUGUGGAGGAGGCUUUGAUCCCUUCUACGGGUAUCAUAGACACAUUUGUUGAUCCUCCCUAUUAUCUCUAGCUCAUCUAAUUUCCAUUUAUUUUAACUACUUUAAAGAUGGAAAUAUACACAUGUUGUUUAAAGACUUCUAUGUGUAGAAGUGAAUUGGACUUUAAAGUUUCUGAAUCCUGGGCAAUGACGGCUUAUAGCUGUUGAAGAUGUUUACACCACAUUCACAUGAGUAUGGAUCACCUAUUCUUCUUUUUGAGGAAGAUUAGCCCUGAGCUAACAUCUGCUGGCAAUCCUCCUCUUUCUGCUGAGGAAAAUUAGCCCUGAGCUGACAUCCGUGCCCAUCUUCCUCUACUUUAUAUGUGGGACACCUGCCACAGCAUGGCUUGAUAAAGGGUAGUAGGUCUGUGCCUGGGAUCUGAACUGGCAAACCUCGGGCCACUGAAGCAGAGCACACGAACUCAACCAUUACGCCACCCGGCCAAGCCCAUGGAUUGCCUAUUCUUGUUCAAGGUUUCUGACUGAGAACAAACAGAAAAAUGACAUGCUCUAUUGUUUUGGAGACAAAUGUGCAAUUUAAUAAUCACAUUUACUCAGAGAAGUUACACAAGGGAAGAAACAACUUUG
rnacentral:lncRNA from 1 species